GAUGAACGCUAGCGAUAGGCUUAACACAUGCAAGUCGAGGGGCAGCAUGGUCUUAGCUUGCUAAGACUGAUGGCGACCGGCGCACGGGUGCGUAACGCGUAUGCAACUUGCCUCACAGAGGGGGAUAACCCGUCGAAAGACGGACUAAUACCGCGUACACUCCAUCUUGGGCAUCCAAGGUAGAGGAAAUGAAAUUCGCUGUGAGAUAGGCAUGCGUCCCAUUAGCUAGUUGGUGAGGUAACGGCUCACCAAGGCGACGAUGGGUAGGGGAACUGAGAGGUUGAACCCCCACACUGGUACUGGGACACGGACCAGACUCCUACGGGAGGCAGCAGUGAGGAAUAUUGGUCAAUGGGCGAGAGCCUGAUCCAGCCAAGUCGCGUGAAGGAUGACUGUCUUAUGGAUUGUAAACUUCUGUUAUACGGGAAUAACAAGAGUCACGUGUGACUCCCUGCCUGUACCGGAUGAAUAAGCAUCGGCUAACUCCGUG
rnacentral:rRNA from 1 species